rnacentral:rRNA from 1 species
UGCAACCUACGGGAGGCAGCAGUGGGGGAUAUUGCACAAUGGGGGGAACCCUGAUGCAGCGACGCCGCGUGGGCGAUGGAGUGCUUCGGCAUGUAAAGCCCUAUCAGCAGGGAAGAAAAUGACGGUACCUGACUAAGAAGCCCCGGCUAACUACGUGCCAGCAGCCGCGGUAAUACGUAGGGGGCAAGCGUUAUCCGGAUUUACUGGGUGUAAAGGGAGCGUAGACGGCAGCGCAAGUCUGGAGUGAAAUGCCGGGGCCCAACCCCGGAACUGCUUUGGAAACUGUGCAGCUCGAGUGCAGGAGG